rnacentral:rRNA from 1 species
CCUACGGGGGGCAGCAGUGGGGAAUAUUGGACAAUGGGCGAAAGCCUGAUCCAGCCAUGCCGCGUGUGUGAAGAAGGCCUUCGGGUUGUAAAGCACUUUCAGUGGGGAAGAAAGCCUUGGGGCUAAUACCCUCGAGGAAGGACAUCACCCACAGAAGAAGCACCGGCUAACUCCGUGCCAGCAGCCGCGGUAAUACGGAGGGUGCGAGCGUUAAUCGGAAUUACUGGGCGUAAAGCGCGCGUAGGCGGUCUGAUAAGCCGGUUGUGAAAGCCCCGGGCUAAACCUGGGAACGGCAUCCGGACGUGUAGGCAUGAGGUGAGGGGAGGAAGGGGGAAUUCCCGGGGUGGCGGGGAAAUGGGGUAGGGUGCGGAGGAACUCCGAGGGGCAAAGGGGGCCUCCGGAACGAACAUGAACGCGGGGGUCGAAAACCGUGGGUGGAAACAGGAUUUGAGACCCCGGUAGUC